CAAUAGCGUAUAUUAAAGUUGUUGCAGUUAGAACGCUCGUAGUCGGAUUUCGGGGCAGUCCGACCGGUCUGCCGAUGGGUAUGCACUGGCCGGAGUGUCCUUUUUGCCGGAGACCGUGCCUACUCUUAACUGAGCGGGGGCGGGAGACGGCACUUUUACUUUGAAAAAAUCAGAGUGUUUCAAGCAGACAGCUCGCUCUUGCAUGGAUUAGCAUGGGAUAAUGAAAUAGGACUUUGGUGCUAUUUUGUUGGUUUCGAACACCGAAGUAAUGAUGAGAAGGGACAGUCAGGGGCACUCGUAUUCCGCCGAGAGAGGUGAAAUUCUCAGACCAGCGGAAGACGAACCACUGCGAAAGCAUUUGCCAGGGAUGUUUNCACUG
rnacentral:rRNA from 1 species